UGUUCAAGUGAUGAGGAAAUACUGCAACAAUAUGAUCAAGGAUGAUUCUUAUCGUAUUUAAGUCUCUGAUGACC